UACGUAGGGGGCAAGCGUUGUCCGGAUUUAUUGGGCGUAAAGAGCGUGUAGGCGGCCAUACAGGUCCGUUGUGAAAACUCGAGGCUCAACCUCGAGACGUCGAUGGAAACCGUAUGGCUAGAGUCCGGAAGAGGAGAGUGGAAUUCCUGGUGUAGCGGUGAAAUGCGCAGAUAUCAGGAAGAACACCCGUGGCGAAGGCGGCUCACUGGCCCGAUACUGACGCUGAGGCACGAAAGCGUGGGGAGCAAACAGG
rnacentral:rRNA from 1 species